GAUUCGCGCGGUAAAUUCUCGUACACGUGGGUGGCGGAUUAGGCGGGAAGAUAGCGUCGUGGUGAUCCGUAAAAGGCGCCGACAAAGUCGCGUGCCCGGGAGAAACGUGAUGAAAGCGAUACCGGGUGGAUCCGGCGGAAGCGCGCCACUUCGCCUUGCGUUGUUCUCCUGUGUCUGGCGAAUCUGUGGCCACGGGUAGAAACAAGACGACGCGGAGUGUCGGUUGGGAAGGCAAGCUUCUUGAAGAAUUACACGCCUGCUCUAAUUAAGGGUUUUCCUUCUUCGCAAGGGUAGUGAAAAGAUGCUUUUAAAAAAUCAGCACGGUGAAUGCAACGAGCGAACUGGACCGCAUCAACGAAACGUUUCCUUGUUGAAAUUCUCGGCUUUGUGCCGACUUUCAUACAAGAAACUUUUUCUACAUAGACGAUAUAAAGUAAACUUACAACGAUGAAUGUACAGGUCAAAUAUGAAAAUUUUAAAACACGUAAGUGUUCAGUGUGGCGAUAAUUAUAGCGUAAAUCGAUCCAUUUUUCAUAGGAGAAAAAUAUUCUGCUAACUUUAAUUUUUUAUUAAAUAUUAAUAUUUUAAUACUAAUAAUAAUAACAAUUGGAAAUUAUAAUAAAUUUUAUUUUUACAACUACUCGUAAAAUAUUGAGAAUUUUAAAAACUGAUAAAAAUUUGCCAACGAAACGAUCUAGAGAAAACGUGAUUUGAAUAAUAAAAGAAUUACUUAUAAAACAUCCGAUCGUAGGAGUUAAUGUUUUAAGCAUGUUGAUUGGUUGCUAACUCGAUUCUUAAUAUAUUCACCUUCUAAAGAUCUGGGGAAUCUCUUCAUAAGACAAAAGAAGAACUCGCUGCAUAUCCGAUGAAUAAAAGUUAAAUGAAAUUACAAAGUACGACGUUGAUUCAAGAAGAUGUCUUUAAGAUGAAAAAAAUAAAUCUUUAAGAUUCACUAUCGAUUCCUUUAAAAUCUAAACAAUUAAAUCUGCAAUUAAAAAAUUAAAUUGUUUAAUUUAA